rnacentral:rRNA from 1 species
GAGCAUGUGGCUUAAUUUGACUCAACGCGGGAAAUCUUACCGGGUCCGGACACACUGAGGAUUGACAGGCAAUAUCUCAUGUUAACGGUAAGUUUACUUACCGCUUAACAUCGAGUGUUAAAUAUGCUAGUCCUUUCAUGAUUAUGUGAUAGGUGGUGCAUGGCCGUUCUUAGUUCGUGGAGUGAUCUGUCUGCUUAAUUGCGUUUCACUAAGGGCCCAUAAAUUCAAGGUAUGUUAGCUCUCGUCGCUCUAUGGACCCCUUAACUCCAAUAUUCUUAUUGUGUUAAGCGCGUGUCUUUAUUUUAAGAGUUUUAAGACACUGCGCAUGCUGUUGGGCUCUGAAAGCAACGAACGUGACCGCAACGUCUUGUUGCCUUAAACUAGCGUANAUUGCAAUUUAUUGCAAUAUCGCUUACAGAGGCAUUUUAAAACUAGACGGACCGCU